rnacentral:lncRNA from 1 species
CCAUCUUGUGAUCUUGAAGCAAAGGCCAAGAUGAUUGCAGAGAUGGUUGACAUCAUUGAGCUCCUGACUGAACUUCCCUGGAAUUUCCUGGUGCCUAGACUUCCUGUCGGAGUAUCAAGCCACACAUCUAAAUCUACAUGUCUCUGAUUUUCAAGAACUUUUAAGUCUGACAAUAUUUGUAGGAAAGAAUUUGGUCUGAUCCAUGGCGCUAAGGAUCUGAAGUGUGAAGUAAGACCUGGUUAGCUCUUUUAAUUACACUCUUCCUUCUGCUCUAUGUAUAGCUUUUUAGGCUUGGAGCCAGCUAUGCUAAAACUGCAGAAGGUGGUUCCAGGCUUAAGGGACUAGCAAACAAAAAUGUUCUGAUGAGGUGAAAAGUUUGGUGUGGUUCUAGAAACUGUUAAAAGCCAAAUAAACUUGAGGUUAGUUUUAUAAGAGUCCAAAGGCAUGAGAUGUGUUUGAAAAGUUAGGUGGGAACCAGAUCAUGAAGAGUUUUGAAAGCCAUAAAGAGACUUGAGAUUUUAUUCCAACCACAAUGGAAAGCCACUGGAAACUUUUGAACAACGGAGUCACUUGUAAUCUAAUUUAUAUCUUUAAAAGGUAUCUCUGGCCAUUGUGAGGAGAAUGGUCUGUGAGGGGUAAGAGUAUGAAGGAAGACUAGUUAGAGAAGGAUAGCGAAGGUCCAGGCAGGAGAUGUCAGUGGCCUGGAUGAGAGUGGUGUCAAAAAAGAUGAUGAUGCGUAAAAUUUGAAGAUCCAGACAACAGAAUUUGCUGAUAGAUUAGACACUGCGUGGGAGAGAGAAAGAACUGAAGGACUCCAGAUAUUUGACCUGAGCAACUUGGUGAACAGUGGUGCCUUUAACAGAGAGGGGAUGUAUUAGAGGAAGAAGAGCCAAUAUGAUUAAAACAAAGACUCCAGGGUUUGGUUUUAGACAUGCUUGCCUGAGAUUUUUGCUACAUCAAAGUGGAAAUGUUAGGUAACUAGUUAUGCAUGUGAAUCUGGAGCUCUGGCUAGAGACAUAAAUGCAGAGCCAUCAGCGUAUACAUGUGGGGAUAUGUGGCCUAUAAAGCCGUGGGAACAAAAGCAAUCACCAAGCAAGUGAGUGAAUACAUAGAAAAAAAGGGAUCCAAAGGCUAAGCCUAGUGAGACGUCAAUCUUUGGAGGUUGAGAAGAUGAGGGGGAAGGAGCAACGGAGACUGACAGGGAAAGACCAGUACAAUUGAAGCAGAACUAGUGUGGUGCCCUGGGAGCCAGAUUUAGAAACACUUUAUAAAGUGUUUAGAAAGUUUAGAAAUACUCUAAAGUGUUUCAAGAAUUGUGUCAAUCUUUUCUUUAGCUCCUGUAAUUUUUUGGCUUUAUCUAAGUUGGACAGAUUAUUGGCAAGAGCAAAAAAAAAUUUUUUUUUUUUUUUGUUUCAAUACCAAGACUAGUUUUAGAGGUAGGCUUUUCUUUUGUAUUUUCUGACAGAUACUGCCUUUCCCUUGUGUGAUUAGUUUUUUCAAGAUGCCACAUAGACAUGUUUCCCCUUCCCACAUACAAUGCAGCCGCAUCAUAUGCACAUGUGACUCACGUGAUUCCAACUCUAUGCACUUGAGAAAAAGAACAUGACAAUGUUGUAGGUGAUACCACCUGCCACUCAAUGCAUAUGCAUAUAGAUGAGAACCUGAUGUUCUUCUGGGGUUAUGCCCACAAAGCAAUACUUUCUGAACCUAUGGAUGGAUUGUGAGAUUUUUUAAGAUAUUUUAAUUGUACAUAACAUUCGCCUGAUAUGCUGAAUCUAGUCUUAUGUUAGAUAUUAU